GGUUAAGCGACUAAGCGUACACGGUGGAUGCCCUGGCAGUCAGAGGCGAUGAAGGACGUGCUAAUCUGCGAUAAGCGCCGGUAAGGUGAUAUGAACCGUUAUAACCGGCGAUUUCCGAAUGGGGAAACCCAGUGUGACUCGUCACACUAUCAUUAACUGAAUCCAUAGGUUAAUGAGGCGAACCGGGGGAACUGAAACAUCUAAGUACCCCGAGGAAAAGAAAUCAACCGAGAUUCCCCCAGUAGCGGCGAGCGAACGGGGAGGAGCCCAGAGCCUGAAUCAGCAUGUGUGUUAGUGGAAGCGUCUGGAAAGGCGCGCGAUACAGGGUGACAGCCCCGUACACAAAAGCGCAUGUGCUGUGAGCUCGAUGAGUAGGGCGGGACACGUGGUAUCCUGUCUGAAUAUGGGGGGACCAUCCUCCAAGGCUAAAUACUCCUGACUGACCGAUAGUGAACCAGUACCGUGAGGGAAAGGCGAAAAGAACCCCGGCGAGGGGAGUGAAAAAGAACCUGAAACCGUGUACGUACAAGCAGUGGGAGCCCCACCACUAAGCCAGUGGUGAACUCCACAUACGCAUCCUUUGCUGAGGAUACGGUUAACGGAGCGAAAGCGACGUUCAACCUCAAAAGAAGCAGAGGGGGCUUAGUGGUGGGGUGACUGCGUACCUUUUGU
rnacentral:rRNA from 1 species